GACGAACGCUGGCGGCGUGCUUAACACAUGCAAGUCGAACGGAAAGGCCCUGCUUUUGUGGGGUGCUCGAGUGGCGAACGGGUGAGUAACACGUGAGUAACCUGCCCUUGACUUUGGGAUAACUUCAGGAAACUGGGGCUAAUACCGGAUAGGAGCUCCUGCUGCAUGGUGGGGGUUGGAAAGUUUCGGCGGUUGGGGAUGGACUCGCGGCUUAUCAGCUUGUUGGUGGGGUAGUGGCUUACCAAGGCUUUGACGGGUAGCCGGCCUGAGAGGGUGACCGGCCACAUUGGGACUGAGAUACGGCCCAGACUCCUACGGGAGGCAGCAGUGGGGAAUAUUGCACAAUGGGCGGAAGCCUGAUGCAGCAACGCCGCGUGCGGGAUGACGGCCUUCGGGUUGUAAACCGCUUUCGCCUGUGACGAAGUGCGAGUGACGGUAAUGGGUAAAGAAGCACCGGCUAACUACGUG
rnacentral:rRNA from 1 species